AAAAAAUUCCAAUGAAAAGUCCGGUCGAAAAUGACCAAACCAAAUAAAAACAUCCAUCCUAAAAAAUAGGGUUUUCUAAUUUGGUUUUGUCUCAUUUAAGUUGUUGAUGACACUACAAAAGAUUUUCUUCAAUAAAAAGAUUCCUCCUCCUCCUCAUUAGAUCAUCAACCAACCGAUCCUUGGAGAUUGAAAAUGAAACUUGUAUUGCAGCUCAAAGAAGUACAGGCACUCCAUCUAGUAGACCUCCUCAGUAGGAGCUCAGGACACUCAACUAUAUUUGGUGAGCUUCAAGUUGAUUCGAGGCUUUAUUGAGUUUUUGAUAUAUGUAUUUUGGUAUUGUACAGUAGUUUUGUAAGGCGGGUCCUAUCCCAACAUAGACUAAAUUUUCUAUGUAAUAGAGGCUUUGUAGACUAAUAAAUGAAGUUCAAAUAUAUUUUGUCUCGUAA